UACGGAGGGUGCAAGCGUUAUCCGGAUUCACUGGGUUUAAAAGGGUGCGUAGGUGGGCAAGUAAGUCAGUGGUGAAAUCUCCGGGCUUAACCCCGGAAACUGCCAUUGAUACUAUUUGUCUUGAAUACUGUGGAGGUCAGCCGGAAAUAUGUCAUGUAGCGGUGAAAAUGCUUAGAUAUGACAUAGAACACCAAUUGCGAAGGCAGCCCUUCUGGGCCAACACUGACGCUCAUGCCACAAAAGCGUGGGGAGCGAAACAGGAUU
rnacentral:rRNA from 1 species